rnacentral:rRNA from 1 species
GAUGAACGCUGGCGGCGUGCCUAAUACAUGCAAGUCGAGCGAACAGACGAGGAGCUUGCUCCUCUGACGUUAGCGGCGGACGGGUGAGUAACACGUGGAUAACCUACCUAUAAGACUGGGAUAACUUCGGGAAACCGGAGCUAAUACCGGAUAAUAUAUUGAACCGCAUGGUUCAAUAGUGAAAGACGGUUUUGCUGUCACUUAUAGAUGGAUCCGCGCCGCAUUAGCUAGUUGGUAAGGUAACGGCUUACCAAGGCAACGAUGCGUAGCCGACCUGGGAGGGGGAUCGGCCACACUGGAACUGAGACACGGUCCAGACUCCUACGGGAGGCAGCAGUAGGGAAUCUUCCGCAAUGGGCGAAAGCCUGACGGAGCAACGCCGCGUGAGUGAUGAAGGUCUUCGGAUCGUAAAACUCUGUUAUUAGGGAAGAACAAAUGUGUAAGUAACUAUGCACGUCUUGACGGUACCUAAUCAGAAAGCCACGGCUAACUACGUG